rnacentral:rRNA from 1 species
UACGUAGGGUGCAAGCGUUAUCCGGAAUUAUUGGGCGCAAAGAGCUCGUAGGCGGUUUGUCACGUCUGCUGUGAAAACUGGAGGCUCAACCUCCAGCCUGCAGUGGGUACGGGCAGACUAGAGUGCGGUAGGGGAGAUUGGAAUUCCUGGUGUAGCGGUGGAAUGCGCAGAUAUCAGGAGGAACCCCGAUGGCGAAGUCCGUUCUCUGGGCCGUCACUGACGCUGAGGAGCGAGAGCCUGGGGAGCGAACAGG